GUGCUUGCUUCCAACAGCACAUACACUAAAAUCAAAACAAUACACAGAAGAUUAGCAGGAGUCCUGCACAAGGAUGACAUGUAAAUUUGUGAAGCAUUCCAUGUUUUA
ensembl:snRNA U6 U6 spliceosomal RNA